rnacentral:lncRNA from 1 species
AUCUGCACCUCGCUGACGAUCUUAUACAGAUUUGUCAAACUGCCUGGAGUUCUGUGGGUAUCACCAGACCACAAUAUUAAAGAGGCUGUCAAAAGAGCAUUAAAUAUACUGUCAUAGGCAUCAUAUACAAGCAGGUUUUAGCAGGUUUUUCUGCUUAAGUGCCUAUCGAAAACACUAAGACAGACUUCAAACAAUGGCAUUCUAGACGUGCCUUUUGCAUAUAAGAUGACGCAACAUCAAAAACAAAAUCACAUUUUUCUUUUUCUUUAAAUCAAAUUACAGGCAUGAUCCCUGAUUCCAGAAGUAAAACCUCUGUAUAAACAAAGAAUUGUUUCAUAAGAGGCAAGAGACUUUACAUAAGACUUUUUUGGUGGUGGUAUAAUGCCGGAGUGAAUUCUUUAUAACGUAGCCCUAAAGAUCUGGACAACACAGAGCGUGAAGCUGUCUCAUAACUGAUGAGCAGUGGAGCUCUAUGGAACUAUUCCAUACAGCGUUAGAGUAGCUACUUGGGUGCUCCAGAGUUUGUUCACACUCAUUUUUAUUUGCAACCAAAUUUGAAAUUAGAGAUAGCAGUUUGACUAGCUUUCUGCAUCCUUCACAAGUGGUGGUCAGUCACAUUCUUAAGUCUGGGCAAAAGCUGGAGACUACAAAUACAGGUCAACUGCACUGGAAUAUAUUUGUACAUUUCAGAUUCAGACAGUAUCUCAUUUAAAAUACUUUUGGGCACAGUGGAAUUCAGGGAGUAAUGAAGAGUCCGGCUACCACAGCAGGAGGCAUUAAAACAAGCCCAGAAGAUUGAUCCGAGGAGCCAGCUGAUGCGGCCUGAGGACAGCAGACUGGUUGUGGGCACGUGGCAGAGAGCAACUAUCAAGAGUACAGCUGACAAUGCAGGAUCCAGGAGGUAGAACCUGUGAGCAACACAGGAGCAUCAGCUUGCUCAACCAAGCUUUUCCCUACACGAGAUCAAAAUUCCCUGCUGUCACAGCUGUGUGCUGCUCACUCUGUUCAGUGUGACAGUCCAACAAGCCAAGUUGGGAUGUGGAGCUGCUUGCUCCCACCCGUGAAGAACAAAGGUUUAAGAAGACAAAGGGGGAGACUUAAAAGACAGAAAAAGCAGAAGAAUGUAAAAAUUGAGCUUACAUCAAUAUUUUAAAGUAUGGAAAAAGGCUGAACUCUGCUGUCAUGGAAUCUGAUCGCAAAUCUCCCUUGAACAUGGAUCUGAGAGUGUGCCAUAAAAAGAGAAAGCAAUUUUUCUACAUAAUAAAAUCAUAAUAAAGUGCGUUUGUGCUUUUUUU